rnacentral:misc_RNA from 1 species
UCCUGUUUACCCUGUGGGACCUAUUUUAGAUAUGGGGUCAGAUGGAAGAAACACUCAUAAGGAAAUCAUGCGAUGGCUUGAUGAUCAGCCUCCAUCGACAGUAGUAUUCCUGUGCUUUGGGAGCAAGGGAACUUUUAGUCAGAAUCAAGUGACAGAGAUUGCUUGCGCCUUAGAGCAUAGUGGUCAUCGAUUCUUGUGGUCACUGCGCCGACCGGCACCUCCGGGUCUCCUAGCAUCUCCUAGUGAUUAUGAGGAUCCACAAGAAGUCUUGCCC